AGAUUGAACGCUGGCGGCAGGCCUAACACAUGCAAGUCGAGCGGUAGAGAGGUGCUUGCACCUCUUGAGAGCGGCGGACGGGUGAGUAAUGCCUAGGAAUCUGCCUAGUGGUGGGGGAUAACGUUCGGAAACGGACGCUAAUACCGCAUACGUCCUACGGGAGAAAGCGGGGGACCUUCGGGCCUCGCGCCAUUAGAUGAGCCUAGGUCGGAUUAGCUAGUUGGUGAGGUAAUGGCUCACCAAGGCGACGAUCCGUAACUGGUCUGAGAGGAUGAUCAGUCACACUGGAACUGAGACACGGUCCAGACUCCUACGGGAGGCAGCGAGUGGGGGAAUAUUGGA
rnacentral:rRNA from 1 species